AAUGGGGGGGGGGGGGAUAUUUUCUGGAACUACACAAUUUCCAAAAAGGGGUGUAAUCGAAGACAAUGGUCCAGGAAGAAAACCUCCACGUUCGGUUUUGUCCGGUUUUGUCUGUACUAUUUUCUCUCUUGCAGGGGCGGUCACGUUUGCAUGCUCUUGCUGCCUGCUGAGGACGUGCUGUUCAAGUGCAGCACUGAGCAUUAUGGAUCUGAGAACAGGCGUCGUUCAUUUUGUUAUUACAAGAAAGGGGCGUCCUCUGAAUGGAUGGAAAUCGAUCCUUGCAUGGACACCCCAUGUGAAAACGGAGCCACGUGUGAGGCCAACAGCACUAACUCUUUCAUCUGUCACUGCCCCCCUGGGUGGGAGGGGAAUCUGUGCGAAAUAGGUAAGUUAGUCAUUCAUACAUUCAGGGGGAGGGGGGUGGAAGCAACAGCAAUGCCUGUACCACUUUAAUCUGUCACCUUAAAUCACCAUUAAUCUUAUUACCAUUGUAGUGGCAAUGAUGAUU